rnacentral:rRNA from 1 species
AACGAACGCUGGCGGCAGGCCUAACACAUGCAAGUCGAGCGCGCCCUUCGGGGUGAGCGGCGGGCGGGUGAGUAACGCGUGGGAACGUGCCCUUUUCUACGGAAUAGCCUCGGGAAACUGAGAGUAAUACCGUAUACGCCCUUUGGGGGAAAGAUUUAUCGGAAAAGGAUCGGCCCGCGUUGGAUUAGGUAGUUGGUGGGGUAAUGGCCUACCAAGCCGACGAUCCAUAGCUGGUUUGAGAGGAUGAUCAGCCACACUGGGACUGAGACACGGCCCAGACUCCUACGGGAGGCAGCAGUGGGGAAUCUUAGACAAUGGGGGCAACCCUGAUCUAGCCAUGCCGCGUGAGUGAUGAAGGCCUUAGGGUUGUAAAGCUCUUUCAGCUGGGAAGAUAAUGACGGUACCAGCAGAAGAAGCCCCGGCUAACUCCGUG